rnacentral:lncRNA from 1 species
GUGCUACUCCAAAGCUAUAUUUCAUUUGACGGAUGGUAACAUAUUUUAAAGUGUUUGAUUAUCUUCUAGUGAGAGAUGAUGUAAAGUGCAAAGUGUCGUUGUUAUACUGAAUGUGAAAUAAAAAUAAAGGGUAUUCCUUUACUUUUUCCUUAGAGGAAGCAGGGAGAAGAGAGGUAUUCUCCAAGACAGGCAUCUUUAUGUUAAAAAUAACUUGUAAAGUAGAAAUGUAAUGACAAACUCUAGAAGUAUAACAAAACAAAAUUCCUUUCCAUGUCUCCCAGUAGAAUAUGUAUUAUUAUUUUUUUUAACUUAAUUGAGUUAAUCCUUGUUUGUUUACCUUCUUGAUUAUAUUAACCAGCAAGGUAGUGAUUAAAGGCAGGAGUGUAGCUCAUGCUAAUUACCCUUAAACCCUCCCCCCGAACCUGUUUCUUUUUAGUGAGAGAUGAUUACAAUAAACACACCUGCACUAUUUUACAAGGAGGCUUGGCCCUGGCUGGGCUUUCUAAGCUGCUGGGAAAAGCCAGAACCCAACCCUACUCACAAGAGAGCUCACGCAAAGCUCUUAUGUUGGAUAUGGGUGUAUGGUGGCUGAGCAAGGAGAGAAUUGGGGAGUGUGCUUUCCCAAUGCUACUGUACCCACCAGCUUGCUUCAGAAGAGCCAUUAACCAAGUUUUCUAGGUUGGAACAAAGAGCAAACAAGCAAACUUUGGUUUGCACUAGGAAAGUGGGGCACAUCUUGCGUUGGAAGCAUUUAGCAGAGCCUUCCCGAUUGUUCUUGGAGCGACAUCAGGUAGCUGGCACAUCCUUAAAAAAAUCACAAAUCAGAAGGGAGAAGUGGUUUUGUGAAAAAUGCCAAAAGCUAGCUGCUGUCUUUGUGUGAUCAAUCAGGAUGAAUUAUAUGUGUGAGGGGCAUAGAGGAGAUGGUUCCCAAGUGCUAGCAGUCAUAGGCUAUUUGUAGCCAAAAUUGUUUGAACUCAGACGUCCCAAAGUCGUCAUAUAGGGAGGUAGACAUGAGAAGUUUUGGAAAGAAAUUCUGUCUCUCACCUCCUGGAAAGCUUGCCUUUCAUGUUCUCUGUGCUCUACAUCACUGACAACUUUUACACGUAUUGCUCUGGACAUCUUCAGCCAAACAAAAGGCUACAGUGAAUGGUGCUUAGCUUAUUCUUGUGAUCAGGGAUGGGUUUUCCCAUGCACUGGAAAUGUAGUUUGGACAUUGCUCUCACUCAAUGGAACAGCAAUCUCAAAAUGUUAGUGUGAUUGUAAUGACACUGAUUUUUAAUGGUUGUUUUUUGUUGUUGUUGUUGUUUUGUUUGUUGUUGUUGUUGUUUUUCCACUUUCAGACAAGAGUAGUACAUAAGUGUGUGAGAAACCAGAAGAAAGAGAAGCAGAAGGCCCUAAACAACAACAAGUUAACACCAUGAGAGUCUGGAUGCUGGACAUGCAGAAAGAAAGUGAUCAGUGACAGUCAAUGAAGUGGUAAGUGCCAUGCUUUUGCUUGCAGUACUGAGAAUUUAACAGCUGGUACCCAGCAGUUGGGUCAUCAGAUUAGCAAUACACUGCCUUCAGAGAU